rnacentral:rRNA from 1 species
AUUGAACGCUGGCGGCAUGCCUAAAACAUGAAAGUCGAACGAGUGGCGGACAGGUGAGUAAUGUAUGAGAAACUGCGUGACGGAGGGGGCUAACGAGUGGAAACGUUGGAUAAUACCGCAUACCAUAGGAUGAGCCCGGAUGGGAUUAGCUAGUAGGUGGGGUAAAGGCUCACAUAGGCGACGAUCCCUAGCUGGUCUGAGAGGAUGACCAGCCACACUGGAACUGAGACACGGUCCAGACUCCUACGGGCGGCAGCAGUGGGGAAUAUUGCACAAUGGGCGCAAGCCUGAUGCAGCCAUGCCGCGUGUAUGAAGAAGGCUUUCGGAUUGUAAAGUACUUUUAGCGGGGAGGCGUUACCCGCAGAAGAAGCACCGGCUAACUCCGUGCCAGCAGCCGCGGUAAUAC